rnacentral:tRNA from 1 species
GCGGGGAUCGCCUAGUCAGGUCAAAGGCGUAGAAGCAGUAAGAGCCUAUCCCGUAGGGGUUCGUGGGUUCAAAUCCCACUCCCCGCACCA